UAAGAAAAAACCCUCCUGACAAAAUAAUUUUUUUCAUCGUCUCCCAUUUGUCUGCUUUUGUUCUUCUCCCUUCUUUACCGAUUGAAAAUUAGAAAAUCCAACCGUAACUUUUGAAAAUCAAAAUCUCUCUCAAAUUACUCUUCUCCAAUACGAUUUCAAGCUAUUAUCCAUACUUUUUUAAAAUCAAACCCUAACUUUUGAAUCUCUACUCUCACCAUCAUCAUCGUCAUCUUGCCUCCAUUGAUUCAUUUUGUCACUGUCAACAUCGUUUCUUCAGCGAGGUAAUUUCGCCAAAAUUACUCAUUUUGUCACAGUCACGCUGUUUCUUCAGCCAGGUAGGUUCGCCAAUUUUGAUUUUCCUCUCUAGUUUCAGCUCGAUCCUCGUCUUCUUCUCCGUCAACAUCGUUUCCUAGCUAGCACCUGAAACCAGAUGCAACGCAGAACCAGUCUGCUAUGGGUUGAUCACAUUAUCCUCAGGUGUAAUUGCAUGAGACAGAGUUUGCAGUGCUGGUUCUUAAAAUGUGCUAAUAUGUUAGUAUUAGUAUUUCUUUCUAUAACUUGGGAAUUAGUGGAUGUUGGAUGUAGACUGUUGAAGGACAAAAGCGAAAGCUGGAGGAAAGUGAGCAAUUUCUAAAUCAAAGGAGGGAUCUGAUAGCCAAGUAUAGAAGCUCUGUUGAAGACCUUGUGAAGACUGAGCCAUACUUGCUUCUCACGAUACCAAGCACAGAUACUCCCCGUUAUGCUAGACGUUGGUACUAGCAAUCAAAGGCUACUUGAAGACCGGCUUUGUUGUCAGGAUUUUUUUGACAUGUUCUUUUGGCUUGACAGAUUUAGGAUUAAGACAACCUAGGUUAGAAGGGGAAGAAUAUCUAUCAAUUGUUGAUGAGUUCAUGGAAGCAGUUUUCACAGGUUGGCCUAAGGCUAUUGUACAGGGAACUUCUGGAGUUACACUUGCUGGAUUGUUAGAAACUGUAAGAGCACAAGGUUGAUCAUUGGCUGAAUUUCCAAACCAAAAGAUAGUUGUGGUGUGAGCUGGAAGUGCAGGGCUUGGUGUUCUUAGCAUGGCUGUGCAAGCUGUUGCGAGGAUGACAGGAAAAGCCGAACUAGCUGCACAACUUUUUCCUAUUUGAUAAAGAUCAGCACCACCACCAUUUGCUAAAGAUCCAGGACAGAAAGUGGGACUUAGAGAGGGGGCUUCUCUACUUGAAGUGGCUUGGAAUUGCACGAUUAGUCGUUGUCGGGGUCCCUCCCUUGGGCUGCAUGCCCCUUUUCAAGACUCUGACGGAAAUAUGUCGUUGCGAUACUAUGAACAACCCCAAAAAAUAUGGUUUGGCUGAAACUUCCAAAGGAUGUCGUGGAACGAGGACAGUAGAGUAUGGAGAUAAAUGCAAAGGCAUGAGCACAUGCGCUGAUGAUUCAAAAUAUUUAUUCUGGGAUGCUGUUCAUCCAGCAGAAAAAAUGUAUGAAAUAGUCGCUGGGCAGGCCAUAGAUUCUCUCCGAGAACAGCUGAUGGGCUAGCUAGCUGAUGCCGGGAAUUGAUGUUUUAGAUGUGGAGAUUAACUGCAAACAGAAAAAUUCACAGAGAAAAUAACUCAUAAGGAUUUGAAUAAUGGUAGAAUAUGAUUAUUGUAUUAAAAGGGAUAAAAGUUUACCACCAAGACUAGAAACUAAGGGAUACAGAAACACCAUCUUAAGAAUUCUAAUAAAAGAUACAGAAUAAUAGAAGUUCAUCACUCUAGGAAAUCCACUUAAAAGAUACAUAACCUGAAAAACAAUCUCGAAGAUUGUCUAAGGAUAAAGAAAACUCUAGUAUGUAUUGUACCAAAGAAUAAUAGAAAAUAUAUAGGCUAGGAACAUCCUUCUAAGAAUGAAAAUAUUUAGAUUGCAUUACUAGAAUCACGCCUAAAAUCAUAAGAUUUGCAUGUGAACAUAAUCUGUCUAUUUACUACUGAACAUGACCACAAUCUCAA